UGACAGAGCAGAGCUGCUAAUCUCAUG
rnacentral:piRNA from 1 species